GCUCAGUCAGUUAGGAACCUACUCUGGUUCAAAUCCCCAGCUGACUGAGUCUGACUUGUUGACAAUGGGGGUUUUCAGAUGAGAUGGAGUCUGUGGGUGUUACCUGGCUCUCUGGUGUUAGUGUCUUUCCUCACCUGCCACCAAUCUCCAAUCACAAACUUGACCCAGUUUUCAAAUCAAGCUUCCUACAAGAGGAGAGAUCAGACAUCCAGUCCCUGCCGGUUCAUUAAAAUUACUUUGAUCUGCCAACCUGCUCACUCACUGCUCUCACUGAACUAAAACCUCUCACUACAGCUUCUCUUCUGUCCAGCCUUGCCCUACCCCUUGCACUUCUGGAUUCAAGCCCAUAAUUCCCUUGCUCCACUCUUCUGCCUGUUUUUCCCGGUUAACAAUGUUGUUGACAAUAAAUAACCUUAACUGUA